CAGAUGCGCCAUCACUCUGGAUCAGGUACUGAUGUGGCAAAUGAGACCCCAUCGGCUUCUGCUUGGGUGACUUUGGGAGACUGAGUUAGACAACUUUCAAACUUCCUUCUAACCUUAAGAUUCAAAGAGAUCACCAUAAUAUUUAGUUAAAACUAAGGUUUUACUCACUACAGUGAUCACACUCAUUGUCUAUGCAGCAAAGAAGUUGUUCAAAUCCCUCAAGCCCCAAACCCCUGGAAGAAUCCUGGGAGACUCAGGAAUUGCUCUAAGUCACCAUUACAGUUCUUCUGUGGCUGUGUUUGACAUCUUCGUUGCCUGCUGGUCAUCUUUACCUGCCUCUGCUUCUCUGACUCUUGAACCUUCCCUGGUAUUGUUCCUGAGCUAUGACUGUGACAUCACCACUCAGUGACAUCACUCAUGCAUCACCAGGGCCUCCAGGCAGGCUACACUUAUGUGCAGUCAAGGCUUUUCACUGAGGCAGCAAGAGCUUUCUCAUCAUGUUUAUAGAUCUCCAGAGAUUCCCAAAGGCAUGGUCCUUCCUCUCUCUUGUUCCUAAAUAACUUCUACUAAGGUGGCUUUUACUAUUUUACUUUUCAGAUUUUUUCCAAGGCCUGUCUCAAGGAACAUGGGACAUACUCACCCAGGAACAGGUCAGCAGAUAUUAACGAGGCACCUUAUAACAUCUAAUUUAAAGCACACUUCCCUUGCAUGACUCCUACCUACAGGUGAAUUCCCUAUCAACUCAGGGAACUCCCUUAAGAUUAGAAUGCAGUUUUGUAUGCCUCCUGUUAUAUAUGUUUAACUUUAGAGAUGUGCAGCCUAUUCACCAAUCUCUAACAUCAUCAUCAAUUAAACAGGGCAUGUGACCACCCGUGAACCCAUGCUAGAGUUUUCCAGGUAUGUUCCUGUGAGGUCUUCAGUGAUUCACUGGAAGUACUCACAGAUCUCAGAAAACCUGUCAUGUUACAAUUAUAGUUUAUUAUAUAGCAAGAGGAUUCAGAUUGAAGUCAGCAAUGGAAAAAGAUACAUAGAGCAAACUCCAGCAGAAACCGAGUACAUGCUUCUAGUUCUCUUGCAGUUCAUGCAUGUGACCAGCCUAAUUCUCCCUGUUACAAUGUGAGACGACACGCAGACAGUGUUGCCAACCAGGAAGGCUCACCUGAGCUUUGGUGUCCAGGCGAACUGCCCACGGGACUGACCUCCCGGUCUCCAGUUCCUCCAGAGGUCAAGCUGAUACCACCACCAGGAGAGAGAAUCAGCUUGACUUGAGGAUGCCUCUCAAGGGAGAAGACUCCGCUUCAAUCAAACAGAGAGAUAUUCAUUUUUCACUUCUCUGGAUAUUGGUUUUCUAAGAGCAUUUGAGUUUAGCAGUAUACCCUCUAAGACAUUAUAGCUCUGCAAAUCCCGUUCCAAGCAUAUGACGUUACAGUUUACGCACCAUCGAGGUCUCCAAGCAGAGAAAUUCCCAAUGGUUGCCUUCAUUGGUCCAGACUUACACAUGGUUGGGAAAUCAAAACACCGUCACUACACAUGAGUUAUCUGCCUCUUGCUUCCAAGCAGACCCCUUUGUUUUAAAGCAGUGGCACUUAUAUAAACAUCAGACUUAUUCAUCUUAUGCUUACGCAUGUGUGAAAUUCUCAAAUUAUACAAUCUUGGGUUGUUUAAUGUUGUGACAGAAAAACCAGCCCAACCGCUAAAAAGUCCAGUUAAAACAAAACUAUAAUCUUUUUCUUUUAAAAUUUGGUGGGAGCAGGGAGACAAAGUGGAAGCUGUGUGUUCAGGACCUGUCUAGACCUCGCCUUAUGUGUCUUUUCAUUGGGCUAGUCCCCACUGUACCUUUUAUAGCCAAACUGUAUCAAAAGUGUGUGCAUAUGUGUGUAUAUGUGUUAUAAAAUAUAUAUGUAUUUACAAAUAAAUACAUGUAUUUGUAGUAAAGGAUUGGGAGACCUCUAAAGACUGGAAAAGUACUAAAUAAUCUGUAUUUUUUUUUUAAAAAGGUUUUUUCAAAAUAUAGAGGGAUAAUGUCAAUUCCUGCAAAAAUACUCUUUUAGAAAAGGCCAAUUUUCAAUGAUUUCAAGAGUUUAUGCUAUUCUGUCACAAUGUCAGUUUUCAAAAGUAGCCAAAAGAAAAACAGAAUAAAUUAUCUCCUAAACAAGAUCUGCAGGCCCUUCACUGACUAAAAAAUAUUUCCAUUCGUUGCAUUCAGCCCCCCUCCCCAAUAAAAACAAAGCAACCUAGUGAGAGUGGUAGAGAGAAAGGGUAUAUAGACAGAUGUCUGUGGGGCAGGACAAGGGCAACAGUCUGGGGAGAGCUACCAGUGUUCUGAGCACAUGGGUGCACUGAAAACAUGCAUUAAUCAACUGCACAUAGGGGCGUGGCAAUGGUAGGAAAUAUUAGAUGUCCUUAAAAAAUCUGGGGGUGCCUGGUGGCUCAGUCUGUUAAGCAUCUGGCUUCAGCCCAGGUCAUGAUCUCAUGGCUAGUGAGUUUGAGCCCCGCAUCGAGAACCCCACUCUCUGUACUGACAGCAGAGAGCCCACUUCAGAUCCUCUAUCCCCUUCCCUCUCUGCCCCUUCCC